rnacentral:rRNA from 1 species
AUGGCGAGCGGCAGCGGCAGCGGCGAGGGGAAGGCGGGCAGGGCGGGCGCGGGGUACCAGCAGUACGGCACCGGCUACGACGAGCGCCAGUGGUGGCCGUGGCUCGUGCCCACCGUGCUCGGCGCCUGCGUCUCGGUCUUCGCCGUCGAGAUGUACCUCAACGACUGCCCCCGCCACGGGAGCCCCCUCGGCGGCGACGCGCGCUGCGUCGCCGGCUUCCUCCGCCAGUUCUCCUUCCAGCCGCUGCGCGAGAACCCGCUCCUCGGCCCCUCUUCGGCCACUUUGGAGAAGAUGGGAGCUCUUGACUGGGCCAAAGUUGUUCAUCAACACCAAUGGUGGCGCCUAUUCAGCUGUAUCUGGCUCCAUGCUGGCCUAAUUCACUUGAUUGUCAACAUGAUGAGCUUGCUAUUCAUAGGAAUCCGCCUUGAACAGCAAUUUGGCUUUGUCCGCAUUGGGAUCAUCUACCUGCUAUCUGGCUUUGGUGGAAGUGUGCUAUCUGCACUGUUCUUACGUAAUCACUACAUAUCUGUCGGUGCCUCUGGAGCUUUGUUUGGUCUACUUGGCUGUAUGCUCUCUGAGCUUAUUAUGAACUGGACCAUUUAUUCCAACAAGGCAGCAGCCAUCACAACUCUUCUGUUCAUAAUUGCAAUCAAUCUGGCGAUCGGGAUACUACCGCAUGCUGAUAAUUUUGCGCAUAUUGGUGGGUUCGUAUCCGGGUUCCUUUUCGGGUUUGUGCUGCUGGCAAGGCCUCAAUUUGGUUGGAUGGAACGGCAUGAGCUGCCCCAGACCGAUCAACCCCCAAAGUACAAGACGUACCAGUAUGUUCUGUGGGGCGCGGCACUGCUCUUGCUGCUGGUUGGGUAUGUGGUCGGCAUGGCGAUGCUCUUCAAGGGAAAGAACGGCAACGACGGCUGCCACUGGUGCCGGUACCUCAACUGCGUGCCCUCGUCCAGGUGGAAGUGCAGCACUUAG